UUGCUCUUAUGAAGUUAGCGGCGGACGGGUGAGUAACACGUGGGUAACCUGCCCAUAAGACUGGGAUAACUCCGGGAAACCGGGGCUAAUACCGGAUAACAUUUUGAACCGCAUGGUUCGAAAUUGAAAGGCGGCUUCGGCUGUCACUUAUGGAUGGACCCGCGUCGCAUUAGCUAGUUGGUGAGGUAACGGCUCACCAAGGCAACGAUGCGUAGCCGACCUGAGAGGGUGAUCGGCCACACUGGGACUGAGACACGGCCCAGACUCCUACGGGAGGCAGCAGUAGGGAAUCUUCCGCAAUGGACGAAAGUCUGACGGAGCAACGCCGCGUGAGUGAUGAAGGCUUUCGGGUCGUAAAACUCUGUUGUUAGGGAAGAACAAGUGCUAGUUGAAUAAGCUGGCACCUUGACGGUACCUAACCAGAAAGCCACGGCUAACUACGUGCCAGCAGCCGCGGUAAUACGUAGGUGGCAAGCGUUAUCCGGAAUUAUUGGGCGUAAAGCGCGCGCAGGUGGUUUCUUAAGUCUGAUGUGAAAGCCCACGGCUCAACCGUGGA
rnacentral:rRNA from 2 species